GACGAACGCUGGCGGCGUGCUUAACACAUGCAAGUCGAACGGAAAGGCCCUGCUUUUGUGGGGUGCUCGAGUGGCGAACGGGUGAGUAACACGUGAGUAACCUGCCCUUGACUUUGGGAUAACUUCAGGAAACUGGGGCUAAUACCGGAUAGGAGCUCCUGCUGCAUGGUGGGGGUUGGAAAGUUUCGGCGGUUGGGGAUGGACUCGCGGCUUAUCAGCUUGUUGGUGGGGUAGUGGCUUACCAAGGCUUUGACGGGUAGCCGGCCUGAGAGGGUGACCGGCGACAUUGGGACUGAGAUACGGCCCAGACGCCUACGGGAGGCAGCAGUGGGGAAUAUUGCACAAUGGGCGGAAGCCUGAUGCAGCAACGCCGCGUGCGGGAUGACGGCCUUCGGGUUGUAAACCGCUUUCGCCUGGGACGAAGCGUGAGUGACGGUAAUGGGUAAAGAAGCACCGGCUAACUACGUG
rnacentral:rRNA from 1 species